rnacentral:ncRNA from 1 species
CUUCCAAAUUUGAAAGUCUGCUCUUAGAGUCCGAUGUAAUUGUAGAGAUGCUCGAGGUGUUGGCUGCUGUUCUAAAGGACCCUUGGGAAACAGGACGUCAUAGAGGGUGAGAAUCCGUAUGUGACUGGAUACCUAUGCUCAUGUGAAGCUCUUUCGACGAGUCGAGUUGUUUGGGAAUGCAGCUCAAAAAUGGGAGGUAUAUUUCUUCUAAAGCUAAAUAUUGGCCAGAGACCGAUAGCGCACAAGUAGAGUGAUCGAAAGAUGAAAAGCACUUUGGAAAGAGAGUUAAACAGUACGUGAAAUUGUUGAAAGGGAAGCGCUUGCAAUCAGACUUGCACUUGGUGUUCAUCAGGGUCUCGUACCCUGUGUACUUCAUCAAGUUCAGGCCAGCAUCAGUUUGAGUGGUUAGAUAAAGGCUUAGAGAAUGUGGCCCUCUUCGGGGGGUGUUAUAGCUCUAGGUGCAAUGUAGCCUACUUGGACUGAGGACCGCGCUUCGGCUAGGAUGCUGGCGUAAUGGUUGUAAGCGACCCGUCUUGAAACACGGACCAAGGAGUGUACCUAAUAUGCGAGUGUUUGGGUGUUAAACCCAUACGCGUAAUGAAAGUGAACGCUGGUGAGAACCCUUAAGGGUGCAUCAUCGACCGAUCUUGAUGUCUUCGGAUGGAUUUGAGUAAGAGCAUAUUGGGUGCGACCCGAAAGAUGGUGAUCUAUACGUGAAUAGGGUGAAGCCAGAGGAAACUCUGGUGGAGGCUCGCAGCGGUUCUGACGUGCAAAUCGAUCGUCAAAUUUGCGUAUAGGGGCGAAAGACUAAUCGAACCAUUAAGGAAUAGACCAAGCUCUAGGUGGUUGAGAAACCCCAAUGGGGUAUUAGUCCUGGAGACAGGGCGACAUUGUCAAAUUGUUCGGGGACCACCUGUUAAAUUACAUACUACCGCAGCAGUGUCGAAAGACCUGUGAGCACUGGAGGUAACGCCUCUAGGGAUGGUAAUAACGUAUGUAUAGGGUAUAUCCGCAGCGAAGUUCUAAGGCCUCACGGCUACGAAUCGCGUUCACAGACUAGACGGCAAUGGGCUCCUAACGGGGCUUAAGAUAUAGUCGAACCCCUCAGAGAUGAGGAUGGAA